rnacentral:rRNA from 1 species
AUUGAACGCUGGCGGCAGGCCUAACACAUGCAAGUCGAAAGAGUGGCGGACGGGUGAGUACUGUCUGGGAAACUGCCCGAUGGAGGGGGAUAAAUACUGGAAACGGUAGCUAAUACCGCAUACAAUCGGAUGUGCCCAGAUGGGAUUAGCUAGUAGGUGGGGUAAAGGCUCACCUAGGCGAAGCUCCCUAGCUGGUCUGAGAGGAUGACCAGCCCAACUGGAACCGAGACACGGUCCAGACUCCUACGGGAGGGAGCAGUGGGGAAUAUUGCACAAUGGGCGCAAGCCUGAUGCAGCCAUGCCGCGUGGAUGAAGAAGGCCUUCGGGUUGUAAAGUACUUUCAGCGAGGAGGCGUUACUCGCAGAAGAAGCACCGGCUAACUCCGUGCCAGCAGCCGCGGUAAUUC